rnacentral:misc_RNA from 1 species
AGUCAAGUCAAUAUUGCAACCCAAUCACUUAUAUUUUGCCAUUUCAUUUUGUAUAUUUUUCAAUGUGAGACUUAACCCAAUUCAUUUCCCAACAUAAUCCAUCAAAAUUCAAAUAAUACAAUUAAUAUAUUUCCCAUAUCGACCUUAAUUAUCAAAAUAAGUUACCUGCAAGAGACAAAGCAUUGAAGCUGGUCAAAAAAGCGAAAGAGAGAGAGAGAGUAUUGAUUUAUUUGACUAUGAAGAAGGCUAAUUUAAGGAAAGUAAAUUUCAUUAGUGAUGUGUCACUUUGUCAUGAACAUUGAGUGAAGUGGAAAAAAGAGGCCACUCUUUGUUAGCUAGGAAGUUAUUUCGUGGAGCCCAUAUUUCAUAUAAGCCUGAUAGACAAGAUAUUUGUGCCUCAAGGUUCCAUUAAGACAUUAGUUCAUACAGAAUUUAUUUACCGAGGAUUAAAUUUAUAUAUAUCCUCCUAUAUAUAUUCAGAACAUUAAGACUGAAAGCAUGAGUUCCAAACUACUGAGGAUUAAAUUUCUAUAUAUAUCCUCCAGAAUUGAGAUG